rnacentral:lncRNA from 1 species
GAUUCAACACCGAAAACUAGAUGGUUACUGCGCCUAUGGGCGGUCCCUCGGUUCCCUGAAUUUUUCUUCGGGAACUGAAGCGCGCUUACGGUACCUACAAGUGUCCAAAAUAAACCCAAAAAUCAGACCUAGGGCCUACUCGGCCAAUUUUGGAAUUCCAGCACGGCGGCUCCACUGUGCUCCGACAACGGCACCGCCGCCCAUGGCGGCGAUCCGCCUCAAGUUGGCUAUUUUUGGCUGAACUUUCAUCGAUUCCUGUGAGAAAACCCACUUAGGGCCCUCGGUGGGCUGAAAAAACGUAAAAAACUGAAACUCAACCUAUGGUGGGGCUCUCCGGUAUGGUGGCUCCUUCAGCUCAUGUUACGGUUGGGUGUUUUGCUUCGGUCAACCUGUAGAGAAGGAAACGGUGGUUACAACGGUGAAAAAAUCACAUCGAACGGGAAUCAAG